CCAAUAGCGUAUAUUAAAGUUGUUGCAGUUAAAAAGCUCGUAGUUGAACUUCGGGAUCAAUGAAUUGGUCAUGCCGUUGGUAUGUACUGAUUUUAUUGGUUCUCACCUUCUAAAGAACCAUAAUGUCAUUCAUUUGAUGUUAUGGGGAAUUAGGACUGUUACCUUGAAAAAAUUAGAGUGUUUAAAGCAGGCUUACGCUUGAAUACAUUAGCAUGGAAUAAUGAAAUAGGACAUCGCAUUCUAUUUUGUUGGUUUCUAGGAUCGAUGUAAUGAUUAAUAGGGAUAGUUGGGGGCAUUAGUAUUCAAUUGUCAGAGGUGAAAUUCUUGGAUUUAUUGAAGACUAACUACUGCGAGAGCAUUUGCCAAGGAUGUUUUCAUUAAUCAAGAACGAAAGUUAGGGGAUCGAAGACGAUCAGAUACCGUCGUAGUCUUAACCAUAAACUAUGCCGACUAGGGAUCGGAUGAUGUUGAUUUUUUAAAUGACUCAUUCGGCACCUUACG
rnacentral:rRNA from 1 species